rnacentral:rRNA from 1 species
AGAUUUAUCGCUACUGGAGGAGCCUAUUUUAGAUUACAUAGUUGGUAGGGUAAAGGCCUACCAAGGCAGUGAUCUAUAGCUGGUCUGAGAGGAUGAUCAGCCACACUGGACCUGAGAUACGGUCCACACUCCUACGCGAGGCAGCAGUGGGGAAUAUUGGACAAUGGGCCCAAGCCUGAUCCAGCUAUCCCGCGUGAGUGAGGAAGGCCUUAGGGUUGUAAAACUCUUUCAGUGGGGAAGAUAAUGACGGUACCCACAGAAGAAGUCCCGGCAAACUCCGUGCCAGCAGCCGCGGUAAUACGGAGGGGGCAAGCGUUGUUCGGAAUUAUUGGGCGUAAAGGGCAUGUAGGCGGUUCGGUAAGUUAAAGGCGAAACGCCAGGGCUACG